AGGGGGCAAAGAAAAAAUGCCAGCACCUAAACCAAAAUAUACAUCCUCUCUUCGAGCUUGGGGGGAUGCCCCCUCCCUAUGAUUUGCUCUGAAAUUUGCCAAGCUAUCUUGCUCUUAGCCUGGGGCAAGGGAAAGGCAUUUGACUCAUCAAAGUAUUUGCCUCCAUUUCCCAUCUCUCCUCAGCUGAGAUGCCAACUAAUAAUUUCUGUUGCACUCUUCAUUUCAACACCCCAUUUUCUAAUCCUCUUCCCUGAUUGACAUCUCUGGUCAACAAACAUGGUAAAGCCGGAGAAAGGCAUGGAAAUCAAGACACUGUUUGCCCAGAGUUGCACAUGAACCUGCCUUUGCUCGCAGUUCCAGCCCAUGGCUUAAUCCAAACCAAGACCCAGCCAAAAAUAUCCCCACGUCCAGGGGGACAGAGGAAUUUUUCCUGCGCCUCAGGAAUGUGGGCAUUGCUCUGCAGCACAGGGUUUCUCCACAGCCGACCGAGACCUGAAGCCGACACCACUGAAGCUCUUGCACUGAGCGGUGCUGGAGCCGGGGAAGUGUGCGCAGGGGGUGGGCGAUGGGGCUGCAGCCCCGUGCACGCCAGGAGGUGCACACGGCGGGUUCUGGAAUGUGUUUCGGAUCUCCUCCUCCUCUUCCUCAGAGCUGCAACUCCUGUGAGCAAUGUGCUCUUCUCCCACUUUGGCACAGCAAGGUCAGAAACGGGAAAGAAGCCCAUUUCCCUUCCAGUGUGCCUGGUCACUUGAAAACCAAGGGAAACCAGAGGAAGGAGCAAAAAUAAAGGACAUAGGGCAGCUCCGACCAAUUAAAGGGCAAAGAGUAGGCAAGGGGAGGCAGGCUGGGGAACAAGGAGGUUAUAAGCUGUUGCCAAACCACUGCAAACCCAGUGACAAGAUUAUACUUGGAUGAGGCUCCUGGAAAAACCAGCUGAAGGAGGGAGGCGAAUGUGGCCGGGGAUUAAUGAGCCUGAGAUCCACCGACAGUGCCCGGUGGCUGCUGGAGACGACAGACAGGCCUGAGUCAAUGCGCUUGGAGAGAUGCAGCUACUAAUCCAGCGGCACGGGGGCCUGGAGAGAGGCAGACAGACAGACAGACGUCGUCCAAACCACAGGACACUCCCCAAGGCCUUUCCCACCGUGGAGUCACAGCACUGCUCCCAUGCCAGCAAGGACAAGGAGGUGACAAAACACCCUGGCACUCACUCUUUUUCCUUCAAAGAAAGUCGCAAGGGGUGGUGGACGCUGCCUUUCCAUGCUCGGUGAUAAAGAGGCGAGGAGAGCCGGGUUCAGCUCCUUCCCACCUCCCACAGCAAAGAGGGGAGCGUGCAGCACACCGAAGGGUUUCCAGCCGGGAUUGCUCUACUCGAGAUUUCUUUUUCUCCCACACAACGUGCCGUCCCGUCUGCAGAGAACCGCCGGGCAGAGAACCGCCGGGCAGAGAACCGCUGGGCAGAGAACCGCUGGGCAGAGAACUGCUGGGCAGAGAACCACCGGGCAGCCGCCUUUCUGCUUGGUGACCUGCCCGGCGUGAACUUUCGCCAAGCCAUGGGGCUGCCGAGGGAUGGGGGAGCUCCCCUGCCCCCGACCAGCACCCCCGAGUCCCCAGAAGAGCUGCUGUGGUUAAUUAUGAAGCGAUCAUCAGCCAGACAGCUCUUUGCUGUCCAGGACAAGCUGUGAGCUCAGCCCCAACACUUGUAAAGCUUCUUGCCCCUUGAGCCUUGUUUUGCAUUAUGGCACUAGCUAGGAGGCAGAUUUUUACUAGAUUAUAAAUUAUAUUUCUGCAUAAAGCUUUACAUCUCUGCCUGCAAGUUACUGUGUUGUGGAACACCAUUAGGCUUUUGUGAUUGUGCCCUGGCAGUUCCCUUUGUGCCUCCCCCUCCAGCAAGAAAAACCCGGGUUAUGGAGCAGUCAGGAUGCAACAAAUGCAGCACAAGUCCCAGGUGAAACGUCUCCAGAUUUCUGCACGGUGGCAGACCCCGAAAUAUGUACCUGGAGCUGGCCUGAGCCAGCUGGGCAGCCCGGGGAGGAAGAGCAGCUAAUGGAUCCCACCGGCUCUCACUCAGCAACAAACACCAGUGAAGUGCGAGAGACUAAUUGGACAUUUAACCUAACGCUGGCACAGGAGGCCUCGUGCUGGAGCUGGAGAGAGGGAAGAAAGAUUCACUCCUCAGCUGCAGCUCCUCUAAUAAGCCCUUUGCUGUAACCAGAGACGCCCCGUGUGCCCCACGUCUUCCUACAGACAGUUCUCACCCGGGGGGAUGAUCGCUGGGUGGACGAAGAGGAGGAGAGAGGAGCUUUAUGAGAGCUGACAGGAAUAAAAACAUUCCCCGGUCUG